rnacentral:lncRNA from 1 species
CCGCAGCGCCGCGCCCGCGCCGGGCUAAAUCGACGUGGUCCGCGGCCCGCGGCUCCCCGCUGGCGCACGCGGCCGGGGUCUGCAGCGCCGCGCGGAGGAGGAGCUCCAGCGACCACGGAGCACCUAGAUGCCUUUUGCUCGAGUCCAUCGCUGCUUCCUCCCAUCACUGCCUCGCACUAUGGGGCACUCACGUCGUGUCCCUCGACUGCCGGGCAGGGGCCAGGUCUAUUCGUCCUGUCAUGCGGCACGGGGAGUGGGGACAGGAAGUGUGGACCCUCAGCGAUCCGGUGUGGAACCGGGCACCCGCUUUCUGCCGGUGAAGAAAAUGAGGCGUAGAGAGCAGGCAGUAGACUUAGGAGUUGGAGUGUGAUAGGGCCAGGACUGAGUCUUGCUGAUCAAGACUUGGGUACCAUCCAACCCCGUCCAGCGUGUGUGUGUGUGUGUGUGUGUGUGUGUGUGUGUGUGUGUUGCUACCGGGUGUUGAACCCAGGGGCGCUUUAACUAUUGAGCCACGCCUCCAGUUCUUUUUAAAUUAUUUUUUUUGAGACAGGGUCUCGCUAAAUUGCUGGCUUUUGAACUUCUGAUUCUCCUGCCUCAGCCUCCCUAGUCGGUGCAAUCACAGGCUUGUGCCACCCCAUCCCGUUUUACAGAGGCCACAGGACCUAGGAAAUGGACCCGAUUAAAUGCAGAGGCAGAUACGGGAACGGCAAACCUUAAGCCAAAACAUUAAAGACAUUUGGAAAAUGUCAACAGUAUUGAUCUUAGUGAAUUUCUUGUUUUAAAGAAAUUGGUUUUCUUCUGUGUGUGUGUGUGUGUGUGUGUGUAUUUAACUUAGGGCUGCUUUAUCACCGAGCUACACCCUAGCCCCUUUUAUUUUUGAAACAAGUUCUUACUAAAUUGCCCAGGCUGGCCUCCAACUCCCCAUCCGCCUGCCUUAGCCUCCAGAGUUGCUGGGAUGAUAGGUGAGCAUCACCAUGAUCAGUGCCAGGAAACUGUUUUUCAAAAGUUUCUGAGUUUCAGUUUUAAAAACCGUAUAUUCUGAUAUAACUUACUAAACAAAAACUCUUUGGGUCUUCAAUAAGUUUUAAGAGUGUGAAGUGGUACUAAGACCAAGAAGUUUGAGAACCACUGUCUAGCUCAACUUAUAUCUGAGAGAUGACUCGCUGAGUCCCAGGGUGACAGAGCUACUGGAGAACAGCCUCUUGGAGACAGCUUGCUCUCCCAGGUUCCCUUCAUUCACAUCUGGGAUUCAGACACAGAUGCAUGUGGUAGGGCAGUAAGUUAUCACAGAUGUCAGAUCAGAUGCUGGACUUUAGUUCUUGGAGACUGCCUGAUUAAG